rnacentral:rRNA from 1 species
UACGUAGGUGGCAAGCGUUGUCCGGAAUUACUGGGCGUAAAGCGUGCGCAGGCGGUCCGUUAAGACAGAUGUGAAAUCCCCGGGCUUAACCUGGGAACUGCAUUUGUGACUGGCGGACUCGAGUAGUGGCAGAGGGGGGGUAGAAUUCCACGUGUAGCAGUGAAAUGCGUAGAGAUGUGGAGGAAUACCGAUGGCGAAGGC